CAGAAUCUGCAUUGUUGGUGAUGUGGAGAUGUUUUUUUGAGGCUAUACCCUUAAAUCGGGUUCUUAACCAUAUUUGGAUGCCAUGCCCGACGGGUAAGGCUGAAUGGAUGUGCAGGGAACCCACCUGUUGAGACAGGUCUCGAAAAAUCUCGCACACGGCAAAUGCGGACUGUUU
rnacentral:other from 1 species